UUUCAGCUUUCUUAUUUAGAAGCAACUAUACCUCCUUGGGCAGAAGAAGUUACUUGUGCCUUAGUUCAAUCUCCUGAUAUUGAUGUAACGAUAGAUUCUAAUAUAUUAAUAAAGAAUUAUUUUCAAACACCAAGAUAUGUUGUUGUAGGAGAUAUUAUAGCAAUAAGUUCACAAGCUGAUGUUACAUUCAAUGAAAAAUUUAAAGCUUCCUCAUAUGUGAGGUAAUUAUUAUGUUUUUAUAACAUUACUAAUAUUACAUUAAUAAAACCUUAUUUAUUAUCAAAUUACAUUAACAUUCUUAAGAUAACAAAUCUUAUCUUAAGAACAGCAAUUGAUAUGCACUUAUUUUUCCAUUAACCCCUUACACAGGCUUUUCUUGAAAGAAACAUGCAAUAA